GACGAACGCUGGCGGCGUGCCUAAUACAUGCAAGUAGAACGCUGAAGAGAGGAGCUUGCUCUUCUUGGAUGAGUUGCGAACGGGUGAGUAACGCGUAGGUAACCUGCCUUGUAGCGGGGGAUAACUAUUGGAAACGAUAGCUAAUACCGCAUAACAAUGGAUGACACAUGUCAUUUAUUUGAAAGGGGCAAUUGCUCCACUACAAGAUGGACCUGCGUUGUAUUAGCUAGUAGGUGAGGUAAUGGCUCACCUAGGCGACGAUACAUAGCCGACCUGAGAGGGUGAGCGGCCACACUGGGACGGAGACACGGCCCAGACUCCUACGGGAGGCAGCAGUAGGGAAUCUUCGGCAAGGGGGGCAACCCUGACCGAGCAACGCCGCGGGAGGGAAGAAGGUUGUCGGGUCGGAAAGCUCUGUUGUAAGUCAAGAACGGGUGUGAGAGUGGAAAGUUCACACUGUGACGGUAGCUUACCAGAAAGGGACGGCUAACUACGUG
rnacentral:rRNA from 1 species